rnacentral:misc_RNA from 1 species
AAAAAAAAAAAAUUUUCACUUUGCCGACCGACCGAGGAGAAGUGUCCCUCUCGGGGAAAGAGACACGAAAGUGGUGCUCGGCGACCAUUUUGCCGUCGAAAUCCCCGUACUCGGGCAAAACCGACAGAAUGUGCCAAGCGACCUUUCAGACAUACCUACUUUUCAUAAUUGUGUGCUAAGCGACGUUCAGACAUACCUACUUUUAAUACACAUCGCUCCGAUACGGGCUAAUGUUAAAUUUAGGGAAAUGUGCAAAGCGGCUUUGAGACAUACCAACAUUUUAUAAUUUUUCCCUUACUAUGGGAGAGGCAGUUGGCUGGUCCUCAGUCAAUUUGAGGUGAAGUGUCGUUUCGAUGGUGUGGUGCGAGUCGGAUUUCUGCGAGUGCGGUAAAUUACCUUCUACGUAUCCCUCCGUCGUCUUCAUUUCCCUUUCGGUCUCUUGGUUGGUCGUCGGUCGGGUCGGUAUCCUUGGUUUGGAGAGAGAGAAGAGAGAGAGAGAGAGGAGGGGUGUUUCGGCGGGUGCUUGUGUGGCGAUAGCGGGACGUCGGUAUUGUUCCGGGAGAGGCUUACCUUGUGCGGUGGAUCUUCGCUUGGGUGUGUUGCGUGUUGCCUUCUAGGGUGUCUAGGCCAGUUACCAAUGCGGAUGGGCCGUUGCUCAGCCGCGGUUCCUGCUGCGGGCUCUAGUUGGCGGACGUGGCUAUCUUCGGCUGGGAUUCGUCUCCGUGCUUUGAUUCGUUCACUCCCCGACUUGCUGGUUUCUCGCGCUAUAUCGCUGCCGCGGUUCUUCGUCGUACCUUCUUCACUCGCUCGCUCCAUCUAUUUUAGAAAGGCAACGAAGCGGUCGGAAGGCGGGGGAACGUUUGUACCGUUUUCUCGUCCAGUCACCGCGUACCUUUUGCACGAUCCAAGGUUAGAUGGAGACGGUGGGACGGUGGAGGUUAGCGUAGCAAGUUGCGCUCUCUCGACACUGUCCGUGGUCGCCGGUGGUCGAAGCAAGCUGAGGUAGAUUAGUUUCGGCCGAGUUUGCCUCUUCUGCCGGUGGAAACGAAAUGUUCCAGUGUACGCCUACACAGCGGGACAGACUGGCUGGUCCGAUAUUUUAAAAGCGAAUCUACAACUCUCGGUCUCCCGGUAUCGCCUCGGCAGCGUCACAGUGUACCCRGGUUCGUGUCWCUCGUGGGCACGGGUCCGGCGCUUGUCGUUUAUGCCUUGGCGUUCACCCUUGGUGUUGGAGACCGUUUUAAGCCGCAGACGCCCCUUGGCCCGUACGAGAGACGAUCUUUUCUCGUGUGGAAGAAGGGGGAAGUAGCCAAUGGCCAGUCUGCCUCUUGCCGAUCUUUCGAGCUUUCGCCGGAGUUUAAAGGGAGUUUCGGCUCCAGUUGCUUCGACGGAGGCCUCGACGGAACGACGUUUGUGAACGAGGCCGCUCGGAGGUGUUGGUUCCCCUGUUCCGAUGCCACCGACGGUCGCCUCUUCAGAGCCACUGUAGCUGACCGUCGCGCUUUAACGUGCCACUAGCAACUUUUCGUCGUCUCCGGGCGGCGAAGGGGAACCUGGGGCCUUCUGCGAACGGCGCCUUUGGUUUUAAACUCUGUCGAGCGUUUCUCGUGGUUUCUCCGAGAGAAAAGAAGGCUAUCU